AGCUAACGCGUUAAAUCGACCGCCUGGGGAGUACGGCCGCAAGGUUAAAACUCAAAUGAAUUGACGGGGGCCCGCACAAGCGGUGGAGCAUGUGGUUUAAUUCGAUGCAACGCGAAGAACCUUACCUGGUCUUGACAUCCACAGAACUUUCCAGAGAUGGAUUGGUGCCUUCGGGAACUGUGAGACAGGUGCUGCAUGGCUGUCGUCAGCUCGUGUUGUGAAAUGUUGGGUUAAGUCCCGCAACGAGCGCAACCCUUAUCCUUUGUUGCCAGCGGUCCGGCCGGGAACUCAAAGGAGACUGCCAGUGAUAAACUGGAGGAAGGUGGGGAUGACGUCAAGUCAUCAUGGCCCUUACGACCAGGGCUACACACGUGCUACAAUGGCAUAUACAAAGAGAAGCGACCUCGCGAGAGCAAGCGGACCUCAUAAAGUAUGUCGUAGUCCGGAUUGGAGUCUGCAACUCGACUCCAUGAAGUCGGAAUCGCUAGUAAUCGUAGAUCAGAAUGCUACGGUGAAUACGUUCCCGGGCCUUGUACACACCGCCCGUCACACCAUGGGAGUGGGUUGCAAAAGAAGUAGGUAGCUUAACCUUCGGGAGGGCGCUUACCACUUUGUGAUUCAUGACUGGGGUGAAGUCGUAACAAGGUAACCGUAGGGGAACCUGCGGUUG
rnacentral:rRNA from 1 species